rnacentral:rRNA from 1 species
GAACCGUACUGUAAACCGACACAGGUGAUCAGGUAGAGAAUACCAAGGCGCUUGAGAGAACUCGGGUGAAGGAGCUAGGCAAAAUGGUACCGUAACUUCGGGAGAAGGUACGCCGGUUUGGGUGAUGGGACUUGCUCCUUGAGCCUGGGCUGGCCGAAGUGACCAGGUGGCUGCGACUGUUUAUUAAAAACAUAGCACUGUGCAAACACGUAAGUGGACGUAUACGGUGUGACGCCUGCCCGGUGCCGGAAGGUUAAUUGAUGGGGUUAUCUUCGGAGAAGCUCUUGAUCGAAGCCCCGGUAAACGGCGGCCGUAACUAUAACGGUCCUAAGGUAGCGAAAUUCCUUGUCGGGUAAGUUCCGACCUGCACGAAUGGCGUAACGAUGGCCACACUGUCUCCACCCGAGACUCAGUGAAAUUGAAAUCGCUGUUAAGAUGCAGUGUACCCGCGGCUAGACGGAAAGACCCCGUGAACCUUUACUAUAGCUUCACACUGGACUCUGACCUUACUUGUGUAGGAUAGCUGGGAGGCUUUGAAGCGGUGGCGCCAGCCAUCGUGGAGCCAACCUUGAAAUACCAGCCUGGUAAUGUUGGGGUUCUAACUCAGGUCCGUAAUCCGGAUCGAGGACAGUGUGUGGUGGGUAGUUUGACUGGGGCGGUCUCCUCCCAAAGAGUAACGGAGGAGCACGAAGGUGCGCUAAUCACGGUCGGAAAUCGUGAGGUUAGUGUAAAGGCACAAGCGCGCUUGACUGCGAGUCUGACAAGACGAGCAGGUACGAAAGUAGGUCUUAGUGAUCCGGUGGUUCUGUAUGGAAGGGCCAUCGCUCAACGGAUAAAAGGUACUCCGGGGAUAACAGGCUGAUACCGCCCAAGAGUUCACAUCGACGGCGGUGUUUGGCACCUCGAUGUCGGCUCAUCACAUCCUGGGGCUGAAGCCGGUCCCAAGGGUAUGGCUGUUCGCCAUUUAAAGUGGUACGCGAGCUGGGUUUAGAACGUCGUGAGACAGUUCGGUCCCUAUCUGCCGUGGGCGUUGGAGAAUUGAGGGAAGCUGCUCCUAGUACGAGAGGACCGGAGUGGACGAACCGCUGGUGUUCGGGUUGUGUCGCCAGACGCAUUGCCCGGUAGCUACGUUCGGACAGGAUAAGCGCUGAAAGCAUCUAAGCGCAAGCCCCUCCCAAGAUAAGUUCUCCCUGACCCCUUGAGGGUCCUGAAGGGCCGUCGAAGACUACGACGUUGAUAGGCUGGGUGUGUAAGCGUUGUAAGGCGUUGAGCUAACCAGUACUAAUUGCCCGUGAGGCUUGACUAA